GUAUUUUGCAUGCUUUAUUUUAGAACGUACAAAUUAUUUCUCAACAACCUUUAAAUAAACACAACACCUUGGGCAGGAUAAAAGCCAAUUUUUUUUAACAGCAAGAAGCACACGUAUUUGCCACAGUUCUUUCCUAUGUAAAUAUAACUCAAAGGCAAAUGGUGAAUAUUUCUGUAAUUUCUCAGUGUUUGAGAUGAGCCCAUAUUUUUGUCUCUGCACGAGAGGCUUUUCCAGCUUCCUGGCAGAGGGAACUGCACAAUUCCAGAUGACUUACUUACUUUGUAUGCCUAGAGGAAUUUUAUUACACAAAUAACAAAGAGAGACAAAGAAAGGAAGAGGGAGAGUACACACUCAAAAUAAUAAACAAAGAAUAAUAAACAUUCCUUCAAUUGCCCACAGGGAUUCCAGAUGUGGCUCCAUCCCUCUGCAAGUCCUGUCUGUGACUUCUUCACAGGCUGCCUUAGACAGUCUCACCCACAAAUCUGCUGCAUCUCGCGGGAUAGUCAGGAGUUUUUCCGCAGAGUGACCUUGUAAUUGCAUUGAUGCACUUACUUGCUUUCUGACAGUCACAGACAAAAUCCAUACAAAAAGUACUGGUCUGCACUAGUGUGGCACGUGCCAGGGUAGGUGAUUCCUCAUGGCAAAACUCUCAGCUGAGUUCUUCAAGUGCACCACUGCCCUAAGAGCAAUAGGUCCUUGUGGCCUUCUGUAGUCUGGUGAUGGAUUUACCCCCUCAUCCUGCUUAUCAUGUAUCUUCCAUCACUGACAUUUUGGGGCUUUAAUCACAAGUUCCAUGCACGCGAAGAAAGGAGCAUUUCAUUCUGCUUCAAUCUUGAUUUUUUUGCCUCGAUAGUCUUUACGCAUCUGAGCUCACAAUGCCAAUCACAUCAUCUGUGGGACUCAUAAAAAUAACUGUACUUGGCAGAAGGGAGGAACUUCACCAUCUUCAAUAGGAACAUCAAUUCAGCUGUUUGGGUGGUGAAUGU
rnacentral:lncRNA from 7 species